UUGAACGCUGGCGGAAUGCUUUACACAUGCAAGUCGAGCGGCAGCGCGGGGGCAACCCUGGCGGCGAGCGGCGAACGGGUGAGUAACAUAUCGGAACGUACCCUAUCGUGGGGGAUAACACAUCGAAAGAUGUGCUAAUACCGCAUACGACCUGAGGGUGAAAGCAGGGGAUCGCAAGACCUUGCGCGACAGGAGCGGCCGAUAUCGGAUUAGCUAGUUGGUGAGGUAAAGGCCUACCAAGGCGACGAUCCGUAGCGGGUCUGAGAGGACGGCCCGCCACACUGGGACUGAGACACGGCCCAGACUCCUACGGGAGGCAGCAGUGGGGAAUUUUGGACAAUGGGCGCAAGCCUGAUCCAGCCAUUCCGCGUGAGUGAAGAAGGCCUUCGGGUUGUAAAGCUCUUUCGGCCGGGAAGAAAUCGUGCGGGUUAAUACCCUGUAUGGAUGACGGUACCGGAAGAAGAAGCACCGGCUAACUACGU
rnacentral:rRNA from 1 species